UUGAUGAAACUAUAUACUAGUUAUGAUUUAUUUACUGCAUGUGUUAAUAAAAAUAUCUAACUGAGCAGCAUUUUCCAGUUGAGGAAAUAAAACAUUUUUGUCAUUGUACCCUUGCUUUUAGGUCUCUGAUGCCAUAGGAGCUGUACGGUCGUCGGCCGGUAUUGAUAAUUUAUAUUCCCUGAUUUAAAGGAAUUGGUUGAGUUCAAAGCCGUCCUGAAUCGCAACAAUGCAUAAAACCCUGUCAGUGGAGAACCAACCACAUCGGCAAAGGGAUAACCCAUUUGAAAAAUAGAUUGUUGGUACACUUUUUUUCACACCCUCAACCUCUUGAUAACUUUCAAAGGACACAGAAGUAACCGCUAGGCCAAAGCCGUUUGCUUAUGUUGGCUGAGGCUUGAGAGUAAGUGGAAAUUUUUUAGGUUCUGGAA